CUAUAUAUACCCUGUAGAACCGAAUUUGUGUGAUCAAACCACAGUCACAGAUUCGAUUCUAGGGGAGUAUAUGGU
rnacentral:pre_miRNA from 1 species